rnacentral:rRNA from 1 species
CAGUCGCCGCGGGAAUACGAGGGGGGCAAGCGUUGUUCGGAAUUAUUGGGCGUAAAGGGUGCGUAGGCGGUCUGAUAAGUCUGAUGUGAAAUCUAUGGGCUCAACCCAUAGUCUGCAUUAGAAACUGUCGGGCUUGAGUAUGGUAGAGGAUAGUGGAAUUUCCGGUGUAGCAGUGAAAUGCGUAGAGAUCGGAAGGAACAUCUGUGGCGAAGGCGACUAUCUGGGCCAACACUGACACUGAGGCACGAAAGCGUGGGGAGCAAACAGGAUUAGAUACCCCUGUAGUCCCUGUCUCUUAUAC